rnacentral:rRNA from 1 species
UACGUAGGGUGCAAGCGUUAAUCGGAAUUACUGGGCGUAAAGCGUGCGCAGGCGGUUUUGUAAGUCUGACGUGAAAUCCCCGGGCUCAACCUGGGAACUGCAUUUGUGACUGCAUGGCUUGAGUGCGGCAGAGGGGGAUGGAAUUCCGCGUGUAGCAGUGAAAUGCGUAGAGAUGCGGAGGAACACCGAUGGCGAAGGCAGCCCCCUGGGCUAGCACUGACGCUCAGGCACGAAAGCGUGGGGAGCAAACAGG